UACGAAGGGGGCUAGCGUUGCUCGGAAUCACUGGGCGUAAAGCGCACGUAGGCGGAUUGCUAAGUCAGGGGUGAAAUCCUGGAGCUCAACUCCAGAACUGCCUUUGAUACUGGCGAUCUUGAGUCCGGGAGAGGUGAGUGGAACUGCGAGUGUAGAGGUGAAAUUCGUAGAUAUUCGCAAGAACACCAGUGGCGAAGGCGGCUCACUGGCCCGUACGUGACGCUGAGGUGCGAAAGCGUGGGGAGCAAACAGG
rnacentral:rRNA from 1 species